GAGACAAUGCUUGCAAACUGAGCAUGGAACUAUUAACAUAUAAAAUGCACACAUGAGGUUUAUGAAAUGAAGGGAGAGAAUGAUUCCCUCAUUCAAUUGUCAUGUGCACUUUGUAGGCCCAACUGUAACCCAUUAACACAAUUCACCUAACCUCUAGUUCGUGAAACCCUAAACUUGGCCCAGGUCAUUUCACUGUGAAUCAAUCACUGGUUGUUUCCAUACCAUUCCUGGUCACCAUAGAUGGAGAAAAACCAAGCAGGUAUUUACGUGGGCGAUGGAGUUGAGUGGGGCGAAUGAAUUUGUUUGUUGUCAUGUCGACGUAACGAAGGCCACGCUUCAUAGACAACCAUCCUUCGUUGGCUUGAAAUUGGAGACAUGGAGCGUAAUUGGAAUUGAAAAGUUUCCAGUAAUCGAAGGCGGAGUUUUCAAGAUUUAUUGUUUUGACAGUUCGUUAUCGGGAUACGAUUUCAUUCCAACAAUGUGUCUUGGAGUGCGAGGAGGGCCGGCUUUAUAUGGACAUUAGAGGAUGUUACAUUUGAAGUAUUAUUUGCAGGAAGUUCGACACAGUCAAGUUCAAUACAUACGGGACCGGUCCUUGACGUGCGUUUCUGUCAAUACUCUGACAUGAAGCUUACAUGUAACUAUCAUACACAGCCAUCUGCCCGGCGAGGUUGGAUCGACAGACUGGUAAGGUUCAUGUGUUGAUGGCUGUGUAUGAUGAAUCUGGGUCUUAUCUCUCAUACGUCACUUUGGUAUGCUCAAGGAUAGAGAUUACUGGAUACAAAGGGCGAUGCCAGAACAGGAGUACCAAAGAAUGUGGCUUUCCCCAUUCAAUUUCUUCACAAGACAGAGUUCAAUUUCCAACUUGUGAUUUUCAACUGGAGAGGCUGUUUUCAGAAGUUUGUCGAGAAUUCUGUACCCAAAAACGCAAGAAAACCAGGACUGGAAAAUUACGUGCUCGAGCUAUCACGACUUAUUUUGUACUGAAGCGUUGUCCGUCAGUCUCCACCAUCGGUACUAGCCUUUCAUCCAGCUUUUUCAAUAGCGUAAUACCUUCCACCAUUUCACUUCCACAAAUAAUGCAUGAAACCACAGUCGCAGUCGCCGUCUGCAAAGAAUCAUAUCACAAGAGAUCAAGUGUUGCAGUUGUACCGCAGCAAGAUGUGUCGUAAACAUGUGAAGAAUGUGUACCCCUAGUGUAUGAACGUAGAAAAUGAUCUGGUUGAAGCUAGUGAAAAGUUUACUUGUACUAGGGAUACCAUGGGAGAUAGCUUUCAUCAAAUGAUGCUACGUCACACAUCAAAAUCCUCGAAUGAAUGCAGACAUCCCCUGAUAGUAUUUACAUUGA